GCCCCUGUGGCCUAGGUGGUAAGGGAGGCAGCCCAUCAGCCGGAGGUCCCGAGUUCGAACCUCGGGGUGGGGA